UGAACGCUGGCGGCGUGCCUAAUACAUGCAAGUCGAGCGAACAGACGAGGAGCUUGCUCCUCUGACGUUAGCGGCGGACGGGUGAGUAACACGUGGAUAACCUACCUAUAAGACUGGGAUAACUUCGGGAAACCGGAGCUAAUGCCGGAUAAUAUAUUGAACCGCAUGGUUCAAUAGUGAAAGACGGUUUUGCUGUCACUUAUAGAUGGAUCCGCGCCGCAUUAGCUAGUUGGUAAGGUAACGGCUUAUCAAGGCAACGAUGCGUAGCCGACCUGAGAGGGUGAUCGGCCACACUGGAACUGAGACACGGUCCAGACUCCUACGGGAGGCAGCAGUAGGGAAUCUUCCGCAAUGGGCGAAAGCCUGACGGAGCAACGCCGCGUGAGUGAUGAAGGUCUUCGGAUCGUAAAACUCUGUUAUUAGGGAAGAACAAAUGUGUAAGUAACUAUGCACGUCUUGACGGUACCUAAUCAGAAAGCCACGUCUAACUACGUG
rnacentral:rRNA from 1 species